rnacentral:rRNA from 1 species
CCUACGGGUGGCAGCAGUGGGGGAUAUUGCACAAUGGGGGAAACCCUGAUGCAGCGACGCCGCGUGUGGGAAGACGGUCUUCUGGAUUGUAAACCACUGUCCCCAGGGAGGAAAAUGACGGUACCUGGGGAGGAAGCGCCGGCUAACUACGUGCAAGCAGCCGCGGGAAUACGGAGGGAGCAAGCGUUGGCCGGAAUUACUGGGGGGAAAGGGAGCGUAGGCGGGGAUGCAAGGUGGGUGUCAAAACUACCUGCUCAACCGAUAGUCGCACUCCAAACUGCAGCUCUUGAGUGAAGUAGGGGCAGGCGGAAUUCCUAGUGUAGCGGUGAAAUGCGUAGCUAUUAGGAGGAACCCCAGUGGCGAAGGCGGCCUGCUGGGCUUUUACUGCCGCUGAGGCUCGAAAGUGUGGGGAGCACACAGGAUUAGAUACCCGUGUAGUC